AUGGAAAUCGGAGCGCUCCGUGUCGUGAUGAGCAGUUCCUUUCUGCCCGUUCCGUGUGCACUGGGACCGGGAGGGUCGCUCUGGGGUCCGGGUGCCCGACGGCGGGGGUGGGAGGGGUGUCCACUCUCACUGGGCAGCGAAGCCUGCGGGCGGGGCCGGGACGGACCCCGCCUCCCCACCGCCGCUGGGGCCGGGCCCAGCCCCUCCCAGCCCUGCCCGGCUCUAGACCCCCGUACGACCCCAGGGCGGGCGUCUCCGAGGCGAAGGUCUCCUGUUCUCCGCCCCCGCCCCCACCUGCUCAGGGGCGGGGCCUCUUCCUCCCGGGGGUUGGGGGAGGGGGUGGCGAUUGCCCGAGACUCGAGCCCCACCCUCACCCCCGGGCUCUGCAACCCCGUCCUCAGCCCGGGAGGCCCCAACCCCCCGGCCCGGCCCGGCUCGCCCGGGGGCGAGGCAGGGAUGCCCGGGCGGGUCCGAGUCUUUCCCGCCGGCACCGUCAGCGGGUGCUCGGCUUCCAGUUGGAGGAGUCACUGCUGGUUUGUGCCGAGGGGCCUCCUGCCCCGCCCCCGCCCCCGCCCCGGUGUUCCUCCUGCUCCGCCCCUCGCGCCCCUCCCGGGGCUGCAGGGCGGGGGGGCCCCCCACACCCUGUGUUCCGGAGUGAGGGUGAGCUCGGGGCUCCAGGCCGCUCUGCUUUGUGACGCUGCUUCGCUCCGCCCGGUCCCUGGGGGGCGGGCGCUGUGCUCCGUCUUGGCUGAUCUAGGGCGGGGACCCAGCCCGGACUUGGGCGGGUUGAGGGUGGGUAGGAGGAGACCACAGCCAACAAAUGGGGUCUGGGGCCCUGGGGUGGGGCGCCUGGAGGCCCCCGUGGGCCGGUGGAGUCGGGUGGGUGGGAGCCUCCUGUGUCUCCUACAGUCGGGGGUCAGGUGGUCUGCAGCCCUGUCCGGUGCCCCUAAGGCCCCAGGCCAGCCAGCCUCUGGCCCUGACCUGCGAGGAGACCCCGCAUCUGGAGGGUGGGUUUCCAGAGCCUCUGAGCUUGCUGCUGGCCUCCAGACUCCUGCCACCACCGGGCACGCCCUGCCUCCUCGCCGCUGA
ensembl:lncRNA